rnacentral:rRNA from 1 species
AUGACCGAGGAGGACAUGGUUCCUCUAGGAAUCCAAUAUAUUGUUGUUGACGAGUCCAUGGAGCAUGACAUCCAAACCAUGUGGUACUUGGUGGAGUCGCGUGGAAAGCUGCUCAUGGUAAGGCGACAAGUGGUAUCGUCAUUAGAGUUCACUCACAAGGUAGAGGUUUUCGAAGCCAACAUGAGUGAAGCCAUGUGGGUGCUGGUGAAGGACGGGCUAAAGGACCAGGUGCUUUUCAUGAGCAGACGAUUCAGCAAGUCUAUCUCUGCUGCUUGCAUAAGCAUCAGCAGGGAGACAGGAAAAGAUGCCAUCUAUUUUGUUGACUCAGAUGAUGUAUUUGAUAUGAGACCCCAAAGUGUAAGUGCCGAGAGGAAUGAUUUCAAUUGGUACAACAUAUACCUAAGCUUAGCAAAGCCGGAGGAGCUAACCUGGGUCUUUCCUCCGGAACUACUCCAGUAG